AGGCCACCAUCCAUGGUGGAACCGAAGCCACCCAAGAUGCCACCUUCACCCCCCGCCUCCUUGUCACCCGUGGGGCCACCUUCACCCCUGGUGGAGGAGGAAGAGGAGGAGGAGGAGGAGGAGGAGGUGUCCUUGUCCCCACCGGGUGGCCCCGACCUGGCCUUGGAGGAGCUGGACGUCACCGAGUUGGCCUUGGCCGCCGGGCUCUUGGGGACGUCAGGGGGGACGAGGAGGGGGGGGGACAGCAGCGAGGAGGAGGAGGAGGAAGAUGAAGAAGAUGAUGGUGGUGAUGGUGGCCACCACCCUGCUCCUCGAGGCGGCCCCUACUACCGCUACCCCCGCACGGUGGUGACACGGGGACAACCUUGUCCCCUCCCCCUGCCGCCCCACAUCCACCAGUUGGACGGGGUGGACGACGGGGGGGACAAGGGGCCACCACCCCCACCCUUGGGGCCACCACCACCAUCUUUGGGGCCACCACCACCACCUUUGGGGCCACCACCAUCUUUAGGGCCACCAGCACCAUCUUUGGGGCCACCACCCCCACCCUUGGGGCCACCACCACCAUCUUUGGGGCCACCACCACCACCUUUGGGGCCACCAGCACCACCUUUGGGGCCACCACCAUCUUUGGGGCCACCACCACCAUCUUUGGUUCCACCACCAUCUUUGGGGCCACCAGCACCACCUUUGGGGCCACCACCCCCACCCAUGGGGCCACCACCCCCCGGCGAGGACCUUCCCUCUGACAUCGUGGACUUUGUCCUGAAGAACACGGCGGGGGGUGGUGGCACCAAGGGGACAACGGGGGGGGACGUCAACAGAGGAGGUGGCACCUCGUGGGGCACCCCCCAGGAGGUGGGAGGAGGUGGUGGUGGCACCCAUAGGGACGUGGUGGGUGGCCUCUGUGGGCGUCACCGAGGAGAUGGCAACCACGGGGACCUCUUUGGUGGCCAUGGUGGCCCUGGAGAUGGCACCUGUGGAGAUGGCACCCAUGGAGGUGGCACCCAUGGAGAUGGCACCCACAGACACGUCCUUGGUGGCCCUGGAGACGUCACCCAUGGAGAUGGCACCCAUGGACAUCUUCUUGGUGGCCUUGGAGAUGGCACCCGUGGAGAUGGCACCCACAGACACGUCCUUGGUGGCCUUGGAGACGUCACCCAUGGAGAUGGCACCCAUGGAGAUGGCACCCAUGGACACCUUCUUGAUGGCCACAGUGGCCCUGGAGGUGGCACCCAUGGAGGUGGCACCCAUGGGCACCUUCUCGGUGGCCUUGGUGGUGCCACCCACAGACACCUCUUGGGUGGCCACAGCACCCACGGAAACGCCACCCACAGUCACCUCGUCCCCCGCGGAGAUGCCACCACCAACGGCCACCUCCCCCACCUCAACGGCACCCACUGGGUGUCACCCUGGGGACCCCCCGGGGCACCCAAACGUCCCGGGGACCCCCUGGGCCCUGGGGGCAAACGGGCGCGGCUGGAGGACAACGGCGAGGACAAGGGGGACGGCGGGUAAGGACCACGCCCCAGGGCACCCAUGGGUGACACCGGGUGGGGCCACCACCAUGGGACCACCCCCAGCCCAGUUGGGUCCAUCCCAGUUGGGUCCAUCCCAGUUUGAUGGGUCCAUCCCAGUUGGACCAUCCCAGUUGGACCAUCCCAGUUGGGUCCAUCCCAGUUUGAUGGGACCAUCCCAGUUGGACCAUCCCAGUUUGAUGGGACCAUCCCAGUUGGGUCCAUGGGUGUCCACCACGGUGGGUCCAUCCCAGUUGGGUCCAUCCCAGUUUGAUGGGACCAUCCCAGUUGGGACCAUCCCAGUUGGGUCCAUCCCAGUUGGACCAUCC
rnacentral:lncRNA from 1 species